CAGUCGCCGGCGGUAAUACAGAGGGUGCGAGCGUUAAUCGGAUUUACUGGGCGUAAAGCGUGCGUAGGCGGCUUCUUAAGUCGGAUGUGAAAUCCCUGAGCUUAACUUAGGAAUUGCAUUCGAUACUGGGAAGCUAGAGUAUGGGAGAGGAUGGUAGAAUUCCAGGUGUAGCGGUGAAAUGCGUAGAGAUCUGGAGGAAUACCGAUGGCGAAGGCAGCCAUCUGGCCUAAUACUGACGCUGAGGUACGAAAGCAUGGGGAGCAAACAGGAUUAGAUACCCAGUAGUCCCUGUCUCUUAUAC
rnacentral:rRNA from 1 species